rnacentral:rRNA from 1 species
GAUGAAUGCUGGCGGCGUGCCUAACACAUGCAAGUCGAGCGGUAACAGAUCUAGCUUGCUAGAUGCUGACGAGCGGCGGACGGCUGAGUAACGCGUGGGAACAUACCCCAAAGUGAGGGAUAACCGCCCGAAAGGGUGGCUAAUACCGCAUAUGGUCUUCGGAUUAAAGGAUUUAUCCGCUUUGGGAAUGGCCUGCGUACGAUUAGAUAGUUGGUGGGGUAAUGGCCUACCAAGUCUACGAUCGUUAACUGGUUUGAGAGGAUGAUCAGUCAGACUGGAACUGAGACACGGUCCAGACUCCUACGGGAGGCAGCAGUGAGGAAUCUUCCACAAUGGGCGAAAGCCUGAUGGAGCAACGCCGCGUGCAGGAUGAAGGCCUUCGGGUUGUAAACUGCUUUUAUAAGUGAAGAAUAUGACGGUAACUUAUGAAUAAGCACCGGCUAACUACGUGCCAGCCGCCGCAGUA